AGAGAGGGGCACAGGAAAAUUCCAGCUUGGCAUUUCAGAAAGCUACCCAGACCAGGGUCAAGGACCAGUACUCAGUGAGCACCCCCUGUAUGUUCUACGCUUUGGGAACACAGCAGUGAGCAAAGCAGAGCCAGUCCUGAGACUCAUGGAGCUGACAUGCUGGUUGGGGAAGCCGACCGUAAGACAGUUGUUGGGCACAAAUCAUCCAAAAGUGGUUUAAGAGUCCCUCCAACCCAAUGGCAAGCCGAAGAACCAUCCACUCCUUGCUCUGCGCUUCAUACCCGUUGAAGAGGCUGUCUGAGCUCACAGGAGCCUGAGAAUCGAGCCAUUCAGGGGCUGA